rnacentral:rRNA from 1 species
AGAGUUUGAUCCUGGCUCAGGAUGAACGCUGGCGGCGCGCUUAACACAUGCAAGUCGAACGGUUAAAGCACCUCCGGGUGUGCAUAAAGUGGCGAACGGCUGAGUAACACGUGGGCAACCUGCCCCCCGCACCGGGAUAGCCUCGGGAAACCGUGGGUAAUACCGGAUACUCCCUCCCCCCCGCAUGGCGGGGAGGGGAAAGCGUACACGGCGGGGGAUGGGCCCGCGGCCUGUUAGCUCGUUGGCGGGGUAACGGCCCACCAAGGCUAUUAUGGGUAGCCGGGUUGAGAGACCGACCGGCCAGAUUGGGACUGAGACACGGCCCAGACUCCUACGGGAGGCAGCAGUGGGGAAUCUUGCACAAUGGGCGAAAGCCUGAUGCAGCGACGCCGCGUGCGGGAAGAAGGCCCUCGGGUUGUAAACCGCUUUCAGCAGGGACGAGGCGCAAGUGACGGUACCUGCAGAAGAAGCCCCGGCUAACUACGUGCCAGCAGCCGCGGUAAUACGUAGGGGGCGAGCGUUAUCCGGAUUCAUUGGGCGUAAAGCGCGCGUAGGCGGCCAGUUAGGUCGGGAGUCAAAUCCGGGGGCUCAACCCCCGUCCGCUCCCGAUACCGGCUGGCUUGAGUCUGGUAGGGGAAGGUAGAAUUCCAAGUGUAGCGGUGGAAUGCGCAGAUAUUUGGAAGAACACCGGUGGCGAAGGCGGCCUUCUGGGCCACGACUGACGCUGAGGCGCGAAAGCUAGGGGAGCGAACAGGAUUAGAUACCCUGGUAGUCCUAGCCGUAAACGAUGGGCACUAGGUGUGGGGGGACGAUCCCUCCGUGCCGCAGCUAACGCAUUAAGUGCCCCGCCUGGGGAGUACGGCCGCAAGGCUAAAACUCAAAGGAAUUGACGGGGG